GUUUCCGCAGUCGAUGAUGGCGUUGUAGGAGGCGUUUACCGAGCCGAAGUAGUACUGGGUCUGUUUCAUGACGCAGCUGCUCUCGCGCGUCUCGGGGUUCCCCUCGGCCUCCGCGGGGUCUGCGAGGGCCCAGAGCGCCUCAGCUCCGCCCACAGACCCUGGCAAGGUCUCCGGCCUCCCUCAGUGGUAGGCCCCACCCUCCCCAUGGAGUCGUCUUAGCUCAGAUUGGGGACCCGGACUUGAGGAGGCGCCUCCAAAGCCCUACCUACCUGCUUGGAACCAGCUGUGGUAGAUGAGGCCGUAGAGAAGCUGCUGGAACAGGGACCUGCAGCGCACGGGGAGCCGAGUGCAGGUGGUCAGCAGAGGACGAUGCCGUGCCCUACUUCUCUUCUGAGCCCUGCCGGCCAGGGAGCACCUUCUCUACCCACCUCCCGCUCAGGACUCACCAGGCGGCAGCAGAGGUCCACCAGGCCAGGUUAAGGAAAUCUGCAACGGUGGGCUGCAGUGGAGAGAGGGGCGUGGACUGCCACUGCUGCCCCUCGCCCUAGGUCACCCCCAGCUUUAUCAAAUGUCAGAGGUAGGGGGUCAUCUGUGGGCAGGUCUCCCAGUCCCCCCCAUCUCCAGUCCAGGCAUCUCUGGGGACUCACCACAAAGACACCCCGGGGUGCAGCACCCAGGUUGCCAGGGGGCUGAGGGGCACAGGCUGCCUGAUAGUCAUAGGACUCCUUGCGGGUGUAGAAGGAGUUAUUGUAGAGUGCCAGCAUCAGGUUGGCAUCCACCUCACUGAAGAACCUGCCCACCUGAGGAUGUCAGGAGAAAGCCAUGGUCACAGGGCUGGCAGUGCUACACCCCCAGAAGGCUCAAAUCCCUACUCUCUUCUUUCACUCUCUUCCUGAUCCUCACCUGGUCCCACUGAUGGUUCUGGUUUGACAGCACCAGGAAUCCUCCAUCAUCAAUGAGGACACACAGCUGGGUGAUGCCUACGUGUUGAGAUCCUGGUCCCUCCACACACGCUCUACCAGCUGCUGCGUGAUGCCCGUGUCCAAGAUCAGGUUGUGCAGAAGGAAGUU
rnacentral:lncRNA from 1 species